CAGCCGCCACGGUAAUACGUAGGUGGCAAGCGUUGUCCGGAAUUAUUGGGCGUAAAGGGCUCGCAGGCGGUUUCUUAAGUCUGAUGUGAAAGCCCCCGGCUCAACCGGGGAGGGUCAUUGGAAACUGGGAAACUUGAGUGCAGAAGAGGAGAGUGGAAUUCCACGUGUAGCGGUGAAAUGCGUAGAGAUGUGGAGGAACACCAGUGGCGAAGGCGACUCUCUGGUCUGUAACUGACGCUGAUGUGCGAAAGCGUGGGGAGCAAACAGGAUUAGAUACCCGCGUAGUCCCUGUCUCUUAUAC
rnacentral:rRNA from 1 species